GGCGGCAGGCUUAACUCAUGCAAGUCGAACGCACCUUCGGGUGAGUGGCGCACGGGUGAGUAUCGCGUGGGAACGUACCCUUCAGUCUGGAAUAACCACUGGAAACGGUGGCUAAUGCCGGAUAUUCCCUCCGGGGGAAAGAUUUAUCGCUGAAGGAUCGGCCCGCGUUAGAUUAGCUAGUUGGUGGGGUAAUGGCCUACCAAGGCGACGAUCUAUAGCUGGUCUGAGAGGAUGAUCAGCCACACUGGUACUGAGACACGGACCAGACUCCUACGGGAGGCAGCAGUGGGGAAUAUUGGACAAUGGGCGAAAGCCUGAUCCAGCCAUGCCGCGUGUGUGAUGAAGGCCUUAGGGUUGUAAAGCACUUUUGCCAGGGAAGAUGAUGACGGUACCUGGAGAAUAAGCACCGGCUAACUUCGUGCCAGCAGCCGCGGUAAUACGAAGGGUGCUAGCGUUGUUCGGAUUUACUGGGCGUAAAGAGCGCGUAGGCGGCUUGACAAGUCAGGGGUGAAAUCCCAGAGCUUAACUCUGGAACUGCCUCUGAAACUGUCAAGCUGGAGUGUCGGAGGGGAUAGCGGAAUUCCUAAUGUAGAGGUGAAAUUCGUAGAUAUUAGGAGGAACACCGGUGGCGAAGGCGGCUAUCUGGACGACAACUGACGCUGAGGCGCGAAAGCGUGGGGAUCAAACAGGAUUAGAUACCCUGGUAGUCCACGCCGUAAACGAUGGGUGCUAGCUGUAGGGGGGUUACCUCUCUGUGGCGAAGCUAACGUAUUAAGCACCCCGCCUGGGGAGUACGGUCGCAAGAUUAAAACUCAAAGAAAUUGACGGGGACCCGCACAAGCGGUGGAACAUGUGGUUUAAUUCGAGGCAACGCGAAGAACCUUACCAGGGCUUGCAUGCUUGUCGUAGCUUCCCCAAAAGGAAGUGUCAGUUCGGCUGGACAAUGCACAGGUGCUGCAUGGCUGUCGUCAGCUCGUGUCGUGAGAUGUUGGGUUAAGUCCCGCAACGAGCGCAACCCUCAUCCUCUGUUGCUAACAGGUAAUGCUGAGAACUCUGAGGAAACUACCGGUGAUAAGCCGGAGGAAGGUGGGGAUGACGUCAAGUCCUCAUGGCCCUUACGCCCUGGGCUACACACGUGUUACAAUGGCAGUGACAAUGGGCAGCUACCCAGCAAUGGGAUGCUAAUCUCCAAAAACUGCCUCAGUUCGGAUUGUCCUCUGCAACUCGAGGGCAUGAAGUUGGAAUCGCUAGUAAUCGUAGAUCAGCAUGCUACGGUGAAUACGUUCCCGGGUCUUGUACACACCGCCCGUCACACCAUGGGAGUUGGUUCUACCUUAAGCCGGUCCGCUAACCUUCGGGAAGCGUCCGACCACGGUAGGGUCAGUGACUGGGGUGA
rnacentral:rRNA from 1 species